rnacentral:rRNA from 1 species
UACGUAGGGUGCAAGCGUUGUCCGGAAUUAUUGGGCGUAAAGAGCUUGUAGGCGGUUUGUCGCGUCUGCUGUGAAAUUUCGGGGCUCAACCCCGAACUUGCAGUGGGUACGGGCAGACUAGAGUGUGGUAGGGGAGACUGGAAUUCCUGGUGUAGCGGUGAAAUGCGUAGAUAUCGAGAGGAACACCUGCGGCGAAGGCGGGUUGCUGGGCUGAUACUGACGCUGAGGCGCGAAAGCCAGGGGAGCGAACGGG